UACGUAGGGCGCAAGCGUUAUCCGGAAUCACUGGGCGUAAAGCGCACGUAGGCGGGUCUUUAAGUCAGGGGUGAAAUCCUGGAGCUCAACUCCAGAACUGCCUUUGAUACUGAGGAUCUUGAGUCCGGGAGAGGUGAGUGGAACUGCGAGUGUAGAGGUGAAAUUCGUAGAUAUUCGCAAGAACACCAGUGGCGAAGGCGGCUCACUGGCCCGGUACUGACGCUGAGGUGCGAAAGCGUGGGGAGCAAACAGG
rnacentral:rRNA from 1 species